CCCUUAGAUGUUCGGGGCCGCACGCGCGCUACACUGAAGGAAUCAGCACGUCUUUCUCCUUGUCCGAAAGGACUGGGUAACCCGCUGAACCUCCUUCGUGCUAGGGAUUGGGGCUUGUAAUUCUUCCCCAUGAACGAGGGAUUCCCAGUAAGCGCGAGUCAUAAGCUCGCGUUGAUUACGUCCCUGCCCUUUGUACACACCGCCCGUCGCUACUACCGAUUGGAUGGUUUAGUGAGAUCCUCGGAUUGGUCCCGGCGCGGCCUCUGGUCGUGCCGGAGUGCCGAAAAGAAUGUCGAACUUGAUCAUCUAGAGGAAGUAAAAGUCGUAACA
rnacentral:rRNA from 1 species